rnacentral:tRNA from 1 species
UCUAAUUUGGCAGAUAAGUGCACUGGACUUAAACCCCAACUAUAAAGAUUAAUCUUUAUUUAGAA